AGUGAACGCUGGCGGUAGGCCUAACACAUGCAAGUCGAACGGCAGCGCAGUAAGAGCUUGCUCUUACGGGUGGCGAGUGGCGGACGGGUGAGGAAUACAUCGGAAUCUACUUUUUCGUGGGGGAUAACGUAGGGAAACUUACGCUAAUACCGCAUACGACCUACGGGUGAAAGCAGGGGAUCUUCGGACCUUGCGCGAUUGAAUGAGCCGAUGUCGGAUUAGCUAGUUGGCGGGGUAAAGGCCCACCAAGGCGACGAUCCGUAGCUGGUCUGAGAGGAUGAUCAGCCACACUGGACCUGAGACACGGUCCAGACUCCUACGGGAGGCAGCAGUGGGGAAUAUUGGACAAUGGGCGCAAGCCUGAUCCAGCCAUACCGCGUGGGUGAAGAAGGCCUUCGGGUUGUAAAGCCCUUUUGUUGGGAAAGAAAAGCAGCAGGUUAAUACCCCGCUGUUCUGACGGUACCCAAAGAAUAAGCACCGGCUAACUUCGUG
rnacentral:rRNA from 1 species